rnacentral:rRNA from 1 species
GAUGAACGCUGGCGGCGUGCCUAAUACAUGCAAGUCGAGCGAACGGACGAGAAGCUUGCUUCUCUGACGUUAGCGGCGGACGGGUGAGUAACACGCGGAUAACCUACCUAUAAGACUGGGAUAACUUCGGGAAACCGGAGCUAAUACCGGAUAAUAUUUUGAACCGCAUGGUUCAAAAGUGAAAGACGGUCUUGCUGUCACUUAUAGAUGGAUCCGCGCUGCAUUAGCUAGUUGGUAAGGUAACGGCUUACCAAGGCAACGAUGCAUAGCCGACCUGAGAGGGGGAUCGGCCACACUGGAACGGAGACACGGUCCAGACUCCUACGGGAGGCAGCAGUAGGGAAUCUUCCGCAAUGGGCGAAAGCCUGACGGAGCAACGCCGCGUGAGUGAUGAAGGUCUUCGGAUCGUAAAACUCUGUUAUUAGGGAAGAACAUAUGUGUAAGUAACUGGGCACAUCUUGACGGUACCUAAUCAGAAAGCCACGGCUAACUACGUG